GACGCCUCUCGGCGGAGGGAGCAGGGACCCGCAGCUGGAGCGGGGGCGCUCGGGGCGCCGGCCCCCGGGUCGCCGCCGCCGCCGCCGCCGCAGGGACGCGCGCCCGCACCCUCCGGCUCCCCUAAGCCGCAUAGCCCGGCCCUCAGCCCGAGCGGACGAAAAUUAAACCCCAGCUUCCACACAUCACGUUGGAAAAGAGAAUGUCUAAUGAGGCGAAGAAGACAGUCUUUCCCCUUCAUGGCUCAGCAAGAACCAGGAUGAGGUUGAGCAAAGACAGCAGCAGGUGGCACUUCCCCACCUCCAUCCCAUGUGGGUCCCUGCCUAAGGGAAAUGACUGAGUCCAGAUUGCCUGCUUCCUGAAAGAGCAGAGAGACAAGCGCUUCCACAAGGAGUCCUUGCAGAGAGUGUGGUCAAAGACAAAUUGGCCUCUGUGGCGGCCACCUGCAAAUGGUAAAAGGACCAAGAUGCCUUGGGAGAGAAAAUGUCAAGAGAGUUGUAUUUAAAUACCGUAACAAUUGCUUGAUCUUAAACAAAUUGCUUAUCCUUCAGAGUUUCUCGGCCCACUCACCUCUAAACUGGGAUCAGAUACUACCUCAUGGGAUGAGCUAAGGGUAUGAACUGCCUGAAAAAGGCCCCUCUCUCCUUCAACCAGCCUGAGACAGGUGGUAGGAACGAACAUGUUGCCUUCCUCCAGCCCACCUCAAGGCAGAAAUAAGGAAUUCCUGGCCAACCCGACUUAGAACAACAAUCUAGAGAGUGUUUGUGUGGGAAGUGACAGCAAAAGCUUGCAAACUUCUUGCGCCCUUCUUGGGUUUCUUUGUGUGUUCUUCUCUCCUGCUUCCUGCACACCCAGCGGUGCCAGGCCCGGAGGACUGAGGGAGGAGUAGACUGCCUCGCCCCUUUCUGCAGCCUGGGAGGAGCCGGCAGGCGUCUCUGCAGCCCAGGGCCGCAGCCCACCUCCACCGCCAGGGGUCAGCAGAGUGUCGUGAUUACAGCCCGAGUUGAGGAGGGGGCUAGAGAAAGGAGGGGCAACCAGGAGAGGCCGCGAGAAUGCCUGUACAAUUCCUCAUUAAAUCGUUUUCAGAACC
rnacentral:lncRNA from 1 species